CCAUGGCCACAUCCCCACAGAAGUCACCCUCGGUCCCCAAAUCUCCCACCCCCAAGUCGCCUCCGUCCCGCAAGAAGGAUGACUCGUUCUUGGGGAAACUUGGAGGGACGCUGGCCCGGAGGAAGAAAGCCAAGGAAGUAUCCGAGUUCCAGGAGGAAGGAAUGAACGCCAUCAACCUGCCUCUUAGCCCCAUCUCCUUCGAGCUGGACCCCGAAGACACCAUGCUGGAGGAGAAUGAGGUGCGGACAAUGGUCGAUCCAAACUCACGCAAUGACCCCAAGCUUCAAGAGCUGAUGAAGGUGCUCAUCGACUGGAUCAAUGACGUAUUGGUGGGAGAAAGAAUCAUCGUGAAGGACCUCGCUGAAGAUCUCUAUGAUGGCCAAGUCCUGCAGAAGCUCUUCGAGAAACUGGAGAGUGAGAAGCUCAACGUGGCAGAGGUUACCCAGUCGGAGAUCGCCCAGAAGCAAAAGCUACAGACUGUACUGGAGAAGAUCAACGAGACCCUGAAGCUUCCUCCCAGGAGCAUCAAGUGGAACGUAGACUGUGAGUUGGGAGAGGAGGACUAUGAGAUGACACCGGCCCCUGCCUACUGUGUCCCCACCAUUCCUAAACUGUAACCUGGGGUGCAAAUGCGUUCCUCUUUGAGAAACACCAUUGACAGGAAAGAUAGCCUAUCCUGCAAACCCUUGGAGGGACGGAAAUAAUAGAACGUCCAGGUCGGUGUCCCUUUGUCUGGAAGGUUUUCUGUGGCUAUAGGUCAGCUUGGUGAGGAAAUGAUGUAUUCCUGGAGCCACUUCUGAGACCUACACAGCCUGCUGAGAGCAAUGCUGUCUCCAAAUGCAGGAACUUGGGGAAGCUGAGGGUCACAGGUUCACAGAGCUGGGAGGCCAAGAGUGAGGCUUCCGUCCGCCCACACCCUGUCACAUCUACCCUGAUCCUCAGAAGGAGCAAAGAUACUUCAGAGGUCCCACGCACUAGAAAAGAGUUUGUUUUGAUGUUUUCUUUACUAGAGAGAUAGAGAGAGGCAGAGGCAGAGGCAGAGGCAGAGACAGACAGACUGACAGACAGACGGACUGACUGACACAUAGCAGGGAAGGGGGCAUGUUCAUGCCCUGGUACAGAUCUGGAGGUCAGGAUACAACUUUAUAGAUUCAGUUCUCUCCUUUCGCCUUUACAUGGAUUUAUUUGCUUGACUGCUUCUACUCGGCUUGAAUUCUUCUCCACUUGUAUAGCACUGGUAUACACUUGUAUAGCAAUUUGUAUAUGCAUUGGUGUUUUUCCUGAUACACAGCCCACAAAGGCUAAAAGGAGGUGUCAGAUCCCCUAGGACUGGAGCUCACAAACAGUUGUGAGCUGCUGUGUGGGCAGUGGAAAUCAAACCUCAGUCUUCCGGAAGAACGACUAGUGCUCUGUACCUCUGCGUUAUCUCCCCAGCCCCAAGAGCAUUCGUCCUUCUGCUGCCUCAAGAGUGUGCCUUGGCAUCUAAUACUAACGCGAACUUAGAUUCAACAGUAAGUCAGUGGGUCACAUGACACCAGCAAUGACAGCCAAUCCCUAGUCAGGGAGUUUUCUGACUUUUCUCUUUGUAAAGAAACAAAUGCAGAUUUUUACAGGGCAAGCAAAAUGGUUAGACACGGUUUGGAUCUAAGUAUUAGGGUGCCCGCCCCUACCACAGUGACCUCAUAGCUGCCAGGAGCUGUCUCCUGUCCUCGUUUCCAACAUCUGACAUUGGAGCCAAAACACCCAGUACCUUCUUCAGCAUAAUUAAACCAUUGCUGGCAUAGAACAGUGUGAUAAGCUGGGAACAAGGCAUUCUCUGCUUAGCCAAAGUCACCUGAGGGUUGAGGGCAGGACCUGGCUUUAGGCCCCAGAAGCUGCCCUGCUAAGGAGCCCUAUUUCCCGGUGCCCCUGGGAAAUAGUGUUCAAAAAAAGGACACAUGAGGCUGGGCAUAUGACUUACUGGGUAAAGUGUUCACCUCACAAGCCUUGGAUUGAGCCCCAGCACCCAUAUUUAAAAAAAAAAUUAAAAGCUCAGAGUAGUGCCACUUACCUGUAAUUUCAGCGCUGAUGAGGCAGAGACAGGAGAGCUCCGGAGUUCUCUGGCCAACCCUGGCUGAGAGACUCCAGGUUCAGUGAGAGCGGAUGGAGCCUUGAGGAAGACACUUGACCACCUGAUAUUGACCUCUGGCCUCACACAUAUACACCACAUAUGCGCGCGUGCACGCACACACACACACACACACACACACACGUGCACACACACACGCACACACGCACGCACACACGCACACACACUCACACACACACACACACGCACGCACGCACACACACACUUGCUUUGCAAGCCGGUUGCUAAUAUCAGAUGGGUUUAGUUGGAUAUUUUUGCUGCCUCUCUGUUUACUUCUUGUGAAUUACUCUCCCUGGCUAGCUCUCCAUAAUGGAGAUGGAUUCGUGGGUCAGAAGAGAUAAUUAUUCUCUUGGCUGCUGCUCCCUGUGAUGCCUCGGGGUAUCAAGAAGAGCUGAAGCUUGUUUACAAGAAGAAGCAGUGUGUUCUAGAAGGAACAGAGCAAGCACAACUCACAGGGGGGAAGCUCUCUCCUUUCUCUCUAAUCAGGCCUGGCUGUGCAUUUGGGGACAUGGUGCCGCCUUUAUGCUCAGGACAAGGGUGACAGGGACAAGCUGCUGAGUUACUAAGCACUUCAGAGAUUUCUUUCUUUUCUGUUCACAAACCGUAUUUUUUUAUUAUUGAAAAUUUAGAAAACGCCAGUGUAUAAAAGCACAUGUAAAUAUUAAUGUCCAUUUUGAUCCUUGCAGCACCCACCCACCCAGCUCAGGUUAUCCUUUUCAUUACCCCUGUCUCCCAAAUGGGAAAAUGAAGGCACAGAGAAGGUUUGACUCUGGAAGUCAUACCAGGGUCAGAGAUUGUAGCGUCUUCGCUAUCACUGCCCCAGAACAAGGAAGGGUGACUGGUACACUUGAUGUCCCCUGAAGGAGCACUGCUGUCCUACUUACAGAGUGACAAACAGUGGAGCCAGGAAUCUGUUUCCGAGAGCCAGCUGCAGAGCCAGGCUGUGUACUGAGCCUGUGUAUGAGGGCUCUAUACGCUGCCUGCCUAGAGAUGGGCCCUGAAAGUGUUGGAGUAUUACUGCAAGGUGUGUGUCCUUCUGUCUGUGUGUCAGUGUGUGUGGUAAAGAGCGUCUAGAACAUGCUUUUUAUUUGCUCACAUAUGAAUACACAGGGAAUGCCUGCACUGUGGGUAGCUGCAGACAGUGUGUGGACACAGACACACGAGUUGAAUAGCGUUUCCAUCUUUUUCACUAUUUUAAGUUAGCACACAAAGUAUGGAGGUAUGACGCUGUGCCCUUUCAUACCUGUGUGUCACUUACUUUGCUCUAACUCCUCCUCUCCCACCUUCCUGCCCCUUUCUUGCUCAACUCCUUCCUGACUCCAGAUAGAACCUCAUUCUGUUUUCAUAUCACAUGUGUCCCAUUCCCUCCUUUUUCCCCUGUCCUUUAAGAUCUCGUCCUCCUCCCCACCUCACAUGCAUGCAUGCGCACACACGUGUACACACACAGACACAGAGCCAUCGCUUAUUCCACUUCUUGAUCUCCAGUUGUCUUCAUUUGCCUGCAAACGUCAUAGCUUCAUUUUUCUCUAGAGCCAAAUUACACUGUACCAUUGUAUACUUACACUGUGUCUAUUCAUCUGCUGAUGGACAUCAAGGCCGGUUCCCACUUCCUGAGUACUGUGAGUAGCACAGCUGUAAACAUGGAUGUCAAGUGUCUUCAUGGCCUGUCGGCGUAGGCUCUGGGAUACACCCAGGAGUGAUCUAGCUGCCACAUAUGGUAGUUCUGGUUUUGGUUUUUUGAGGAACCACCAUGCUUAUUCCUAUAGUGGCCCUACCAGUGUACACUCGCACCAGUGUGAAUGAGGCUUCCUCAUUCCCCGUAGCCUCCCUGGGAUUCAUUCUCCUGGUGGUAGUCAUUCUAACUGGAUAGAAUCUUACAAUGCUUCUAAUUUGUGUUGCCCUCAUAGUUAAGGGAGUUGAACACCUUUCCAUUCAUAUAUAUAUAUAUAUAUAUAUAUAUUCCAUUUGUAUUUCUCUUGAAUACAAAUUUACCCAUCAAUUGAUCAGAUGGUUUAGCAGGUAGAGCGGUGGUUGUCUAUUCAGUGUGUUUACCCGUUCACUGAUUGGAUGGUUUGGAGGGUAGGAUGAUGUUUAAUAUUUUAAGAUUCUUUAUAGAUGCUACUCCAUCUUGUGGCAUAGGAUCUAACAAGGUUUUCUCCCAUUCUGUAGCCCAUCUCCUCACCCUGAUAGAUUAUUUCCUCUGCUCUGCAGACAUUUUAUUAAUUUCCUGCAGUCCCAUCUUUUAGUUCAUGGGGUCAUUUCCUAAGCCAUUUGGGUUCCUUGUGGGAAGUCUUCAUGUAUGCCUGAAUAGAAGUCUUUUACUUGGGUUUUCUUCUAGCAGCUUCAACUUCUCAGGUCCCACCUUAAGAUCUUCGAUCGUUUUGGACUGAUUGUUAUUCAAAGGUGAGAGAUACAGGUCUAGUUUCAUUCUUUUACAAAGGGUUGGUGAUUUGCCUUUCCCAGCCCCUUUGUUAAAGAGGCAUUUUUUCCUCCAGUAUAUGCUUUUACAUCCCUGUUGAAAACCAGGUGACUGUAGUCAUGUGGGUUUAUUUCCUAGUGUUGUACGCUUUACUAUUGGUCUGCAGAUUUCUUUUUACGUCCCUGCAAUUGAUACCUUUCCUAGCCUAACAACACAUAUAUCACACACAAUGACCACCACGCCUGUUCCUUUAAAGUGUAACAACAAAAUUAACAUGAAGAACUUGAGAGAUGGUUCUGGCAGUUAAGAGCUGCUCUUUUAGAGAACCGGGUUCAGUUCUCAGCAUCCACAUGACAUCUCAUAACCCCAGCAACAGGAAAUCUGACACCCUCCUGUGGUCUCUAGGCACAUACAUUGUGCACAGACAGACAGGCAAAGCAUCCACAUACAUGGAGUAAAUAAAUCUAAUUUUUAAACUACCAUGAAUAUUGUUUUUCAUAAUUAAAUAGAAUAUGCAUUAUUGGUGUAGAUAUCGGAGUCUCCGUGCUCAGGUUUUUCUCUAUUAUUGAGUUCUCUUCCUUUAACUUAAAGGCAGCCCUUCAGGCCUCCACUUCACCAUCGAUGCAUUGCCAGCCUCAUUGUUCUCAUGCCCUGGGGCCAUCAUUAAAGAUAGCAACACAGUCAGGGUGCUACUGAGCCUGCCCAACACUUGAUGUGUACCAGGUGACUACCAGAGGAGUUGCAUCCAUGGUGUGGAGACACUGGACAAGGAAGUUCCUGUCUUCGUCAAGACAGAAUGACGGAGCUCAGGAUUUCAUCUCAGAACCGGAAACAGUUUUAUAAUCCUUUUCAAGUGCUGAUCACGAGUACACGUUUGUACACUGUGUGUAUGUGUAUAGACACCUGCAUGUACGUGCGUCCAGGUGUGCAUGGCUUAUGGUCUUGUCUUGUGUCUGUGGCGUUUCCCUUUAAUUAAUUCAUGUUACUACUUAGCUGACAUUGUCUUGAAAGACUGUGGUUGAUGCAUGUGCUUGGUCCAGGCUCAGGAUUAGAAGGAGAAACGCAGACGCAGCUGGAAGAAAAGAAACAGAAAUGGAUGGGCCACAGUUGAGACUUAAGGGUCUUCAUUUUCCUGUCUUCCUUUUUUAUGAUUUCUGCUAUCGGCUUUUAUACUAUAGGGUUUCUCUGCUUAGGAAGGAGAGAGGGGACAGGGGUAAAAAUAAAAAAUAGCCUCAGGGGCCAGUGAAAUGGCUCAACAGGUAAAGGUUUCUGCCACCAAACUUAACAACCGAAGCUCAAUCCCCAGAAUCUACCACAUGGUAAAAGGCCAUAUUCAACUGGAAAUGUUUUCCCUGAUCUCCAUGUGCAUGCCAUGCACCCCCCCAUACAAUUAAUCAAGGAAAAAAUUGAAAUGAGUUUGUUUGUUUGUUUGUUUGUUUGUUUGUUUGUUUUUUAAAAAAAAUGUUUCAGGAGCCUAAGAUAGUAGUGUCAAGGCCAGGUUGGACUAUGUAGAAUGUUCUGGACCCACAAGAACUACAUGGUAAGAACUGCAUGGUUUUGUUGUCUCUCAGCAGCAAAAGCAAGCUUGGAGGUCCCAGACCUAAGCCACGCUCCUCCUGGGUGUGACCAUUUCCCAGGGUACUUGCUUUUGCUGCUGAUGUGUGACACAGAGGCUAGCAUCCUUGUCCACAUUCUGUGUGUCUACAUGGCAUUAUCUCUCUUGAAAAAGAUUCCCCGGAGGACACAGCACUUGUUAAAAAUAUCUGACAUCUGUCUGAUACCUCGGAUGUCACUUACCAAAAUGAUAUACAGGAACACCAGGCAACAAGGACUUGGCUGACCUGAAUGUUUCCAACAUUGAGUUUGUCACUGAAAGCAAGAGGGGCUUCAAGCGUGCUUACAGCUUCCAGGAUCCAGUCUGGGGAGGACAGAACAACCAUGACUGGAAGAGCAAACCCUGGUUUGGCUCUGUCUUCACGACAGUGCCUUGUCAGUGGCCCAGUCCCAACCACAAGCCAUUUUGAAGGCUGUCACUGAAGGUCAGAGUCAGUGCUUUCCAGACCUGAAUCUUCUGGAAAGCCAGGUGUGCUGCCUGGGGUCAUGUGGUCAGUCUCCACCACUGGCCAUGAGGAGACGCUGCCUGUGGAACAGCCCUGAUGAGGGACAGCGCUAACGAUGUCAAGGGACAGUCUGAAUCAUUUCCUUUCGGUGUGGCUUCUCAAAACUUCUAAAGCAGACUUUGACCCAGGGAAGACAAAUGACACCCUGGCAGCCCUAUGUGGUUGACAGACACAUGUGGUACUCUGGAUUUCCCCUUAUAUGUCCCUGUAAUGAAGAGCUAUGCAGCUAGUAGGACCAACCAGGCAGCCAAAGAACCUGAAGAGUCUGCCCUGUUAUGAAACAGGAAGAGGAGAGGGGUUGGCAUGCCCUGAUUGCCUCUGUGCCAGGGACUUUCUCAUAAGUUAUAAUAAAAAAUUCCAGUCAUUCCUGGCCACCUGCAGUGUCCUGGGGACUCUGCCUUUGUUAAUAUUGGAAGUCUUUACACUGUAUAUGCCCACCUGGGAACUGUCAUUCAAGAUGGUAAAAGCUCAGUGGUCAGAGGAGCCCCUGCCCAAGACCAAAACCAUUAAACAGGUAACAAAGUCAAGUUCAAGUCUACCUAACUGUGAGUCAGUGUAUAGCCCAUCUACUGAGAAAGCUACAACCAGAAGGGCCUGGCCUUCAGCAGCAUAAAUGGUUUAGUAUGGACACAGGGUGUGGCAACUGUGGAAGGGUUUGCUUGGGAACAUAGCCUAUACCCGCCUUAGAAGGCGUGGACAGCCAAACUUUUGGGGUGGUUCUCUUGGUUCUUCAGAGAAGUUGACUCUGGACAGAGGAAGAGAUUCAGAGCUUCUGACUUGGUAUCUCUUGAUUAAAGAAAGCUGUUCAUGCCAAGAACCUGGUUGCCAUCCUCCACCUGCUGGUUGCCCUGUCUCAGUAUUUCCGGGCACCAAUCCGACUCCCAGACCAUGUUUCCAUCCAAGUGGUUGUGGUCCAGAAACGGGAAGGGAUCCUUCAGUCUCGGCAAAUCCAA